ACAGAAGCUACUAAGGGCUUAUGGUGGAUGCCUUGGCGCCAAGUGCCGAAGAAGGACGUGGGACACUGCGAAAAGUCUCGGUGAGCCGUGAACAGGCGUUAGAACCGGGAAUAUCCGAAUGGGGAAACCCACUGUGACAAACUCACAGUAUCGUCAACUGAACACAUAGGUUGAUGAAGGGAACCUGGGGAACUGAAACAUCUAAGUACCCAGAGGAAAAGAGAUUAUUCCCUCAGUAGUGGCGAGCGAACGGGGAAAAGCCCAAACCGGUCUGCAUGCAGGCCGGGGUUGUAGGGCCCGAUACAUGGAGUUACCAAGCAAGUGGAUAGUAGAAUGGUGUGGGAAAGCCAACCAAAGAAGGUGAGAGUCCUGUAAACGAAAUCCAAUUGCCUCCAUCGGGUACCCUGAGUACUGCCGGGCACGCUAAUCCGGCAGGAAGCUGGGGAGUCCACUCUCCAAGGCUAAAUACACUUGGCGACCGAUAGUGCACAAGUACCGUGAGGGAAAGGUGAAAAGUACCCCGGUGAGGGGAGUGAAAUAGAACCUGAAACCAUAAGCUUACAAGCAGUCGAAGGGCUAAUGGCGGGUUGGUGCUCCGGAGAGAUCCGGGUGCGCACCGCUAAGCCUGACGGCGUGCCUCUUGGAGAAUGAGCCUACGAGUUAAUCUUUGUGGCGAGGUUAAGGGAGAUACACCCGAAGCCGUAGCGAAAGCGAGUCUGAAUAGGGCGUGGAGUCGCAAGGAUUAGACACGAAACCGGGUGAGCUAACCAUGGCCAGGGUGAAGCGAGUUUAAACGCUCGUGGAGGCCCGAACCUACUAACGUUACAAAGUUAGGGGAUGAGCUGUGGUUAGAGGUGAUAUGCCAAACGAACCUGGAGAUAGCUUGUUCUCCCCGAAAUAGCUUUAGGGCUAGCGUCAUGUGAUAAGCAUCGGAGGUAGAGCACUGAAUGGGCUAGGGGGCUUAGAGCUUACCAAACCCAAUCAAACUCCGAAUGCCGGUGCUCGACAGCAUGGCAGUCGGACUACGGGAGAUGAGUUUCGUAGUCGAGAGGGAAACAGCCCAGAUCAUCGGCUAAGGUCCCAAAAUCUAAGCUAAGUGGGAAACGAUGUGGGGUUACAGAAACAACCAGGAGGUUGGCUUAGAAGCAGCCACCCUUUAAAGAGUGCGUAAUAGCUCACUGGUCAAGUGAUCCUGCGCGGAAAAUUUAACGGGGCUAAGCUUAGUACCGAAGCCAUGGGCCUGAGCGCAAGCUUGGGCGGUAGGGGAGCGUUCUGCCAGCGGUGAAGGUCGACCGAAAGGACGGCUGGAGCGGGCAGAAGUGAGAAUGUAGGCAUGAGUAGCGUAAAAAACGUGAGAAUCGUUUUCGCCGUAAGUCUAAGGUUUCCGACGCCAGGUUGUUCCGCGUCGGGUUAGUCGGGCCCUAAGCCGAGGCCGCAAGGCGUAGGCGAUGGACAUCCGGUCAACAUUCCGGAACCACCCAGAUGGAGCGAUGGGGGGACGCAGCGAGGUAGGCCAGCCUGCGAAUGGUUGUGCAGGUGCAUCAUACGUCAGACGAAGAGGACCACAGGGAAAUCCGUGGACUGAGUUGAGGUAUGGUGGCGAGCCCAUGAGGCAUAAGUGAGUUGAGCCUUGCUGCCAAGAAAAGCCUCUAAGCGAUGAAAUUUGGGUGCCCGUACCGCAAACCGACACUGGUAGACGGGUAGAGAAUACCAAGGCGAUCGGGAGAACCUUCGUUAAGGAACUAGGCAAAUUAACCCCGUAACUUAGGGAGAAGGGGUACCAUCUAGGGUGACAGGAAACUGGUAGCUCUGGGUGGUCGCAGUGACCAGGCUCUGAUGACUGGUUAACAAAACCACAGGUCUCUGCAAAGUCGAAAGACGAUGUAUAGGGGCUGACACCUGCCCAGUGCCGGAAGGUUAAGGGGAGAGGUUAGCGCAAGCGAAGCUUUGAACCGAAGCCCCGGUGAACGGCGGCCGUAACUAUAACGGUCCUAAGGUAGCGAAAUUCCUUGUCGGGUAAGUUCCGACCCGCACGAACGGUGUAACAAUCAGAGCACUGUCUCAACGAAGGACCCGGUGAAAUUGAAAUGGCUGUGAAGAUGCGGCCUACCCGCAGCAGGACAAAAAGACCCCGUGGAGCUUUACUGCAGCUUGACAUUGAGUUUGGGCAUGAUUUGUGUAGGAUAGGUGGGAGUCUGAGAAACUGGGGCGCCAGCCUCGGUGGAGACAUCGGUGAAAUACCACCCUGAUCAUGUUUAGACCCUAACCCUACGCCGUGAACCGGGUAGGGGACCGUGUCAGGUGGGCAGUUUGACUGGGGCGGUCGCCUCCUAAAAGGUAACGGAGGCGCCCAAAGGUUCCCUCAGGCUGAAUGGAAACCAGCCGGAGAGUGCAAAAGCAUAAGGGAGCUUGACUGCAAGACCAACGCGUCGAGCAGAGACGAAAGUCGGGUUUAGUGAUCCCACGGUACUGAGUGGAAGGGCCGUGGCUUACCGGACAAAAGCUACCCCGGGGAUAACAGGCUGGUGAGGUCCAAGAGUUCACAUCGACGACCUCGCUCGGCACCUCGAUGUCGGCUCAUCGCAUCCUGGGGCUGGAUAAGGUCCCAAGGGUCGGGCUGUUCGCCCGUUAAAGCGGUACGCGAGCUGGGUUCAGACCGUCGUGAGACAGGUCGGUCUCUAUCCGCUGUGGGCGUAAGGGAUUUGAGAGGAGCUGCCCCUAGUACGAGAGGACCGGGGUGGACAGACCUCUAGUGUGUCAGUUGUCGUGCCAACGGCAUCGCUGAGUAGCUACGUCUGGCAGAGAUAACCGCUGAAAGCAUCUAAGUGGGAAACUCGCCUCAAGAUAAGAUCCCUGUGAUCCCGUAAGGGAGUAAGGUCACAGGUAGACUACCUGUUUGAUAGGCAGCGUGUGUAAGCGCAGCAAUGCGUUGAGCUAAGCUGUACUAAUGACCGAGGGCUUCUACGU
rfam:Ornatilinea apprima strain P3M-1 contig_25, whole genome shotgun sequence.